AACGGCCGUACCAUGCUGAAUAUACCGGCUCUCGUCAGAUCACCGAAGUUAAGCAUCAUUGGGCGCGGUCAGUACUUGGGUGGGUGACCACCUGGGAACACUGCGUGCCGUU
rnacentral:rRNA from 1 species